UACAGAGGUCUCGAGCGUUGUUCGGAUUCAUUGGGCGUAAAGGGUGCGUAGGUGGCUAGGUAAGUCGGAUGUGAAAUCUCGGGGCUCAACCCCGAAACUGCAUUCGAUACUGCGGUGCUCGAGGACUGGAGAGGAGACUGGAAUUCAUGGUGUAGCAGUGAAAUGCGUAGAGAUCAUGAGGAAGACCAGUGGCGAAGGCGGGUCUCUGGACAGUUCCUGACACUGAGGCACGAAGGCCAGGGGAGCAAACGGG
rnacentral:rRNA from 1 species